rnacentral:rRNA from 1 species
AGGGAAUAUUGCGCAAUGGGUGAAACCCUGACGCAGCAACGCCGCGUGGAGGAUGACACUUUUCGGAGCGUAAACUCCUUUUCUUAGGGAAGAAUUCUGACGGUACCUAAGUAAUAAGCACCGGCUAACUCCGUGCCAGCAGCCGCUGCAAUACAGAGGGUUCAAGCGUUGUUCGGAAUCACUGGGCGUAAAGCGUGCGUAGGCUGUUUCGUAAGUCGUGUGUGAAAGGCGCGGGCUCAACCCGCGGACGGCACAUGAUACUGCGAGACUAGAGUAAUGGAGGGGGAACCGGAAUUCUCGGU